CAUAGGUUAAUGAGGCGAACCGGGGGAACUGAAACAUCUAAGUACCCCGAGGAAAAGAAAUCAACCGAGAUUCCCCCAGUAGCGGCGAGCGAACGGGGAGCAGCCCAGAGCCUGAAUCAGUGUGUGUGUUAGUGGAAGCGUCUGGAAAGGCGCGCGAUACAGGGUGACAGCCCCGUACACAAAAAUGCACAUACUGUGAGCUCGAUGAGUAGGGCGGGACACGUGGUAUCCUGUCUGAAUAUGGGGGGACCAUCCUCCAAGGCUAAAUACUCCUGACUGACCGAUAGUGAACCAGUACCGUGAGGGAAAGGCGAAAAGAACCCCGGCGAGGGGAGUGAAAAAGAACCUGAAACCGUGUACGUACAAGCAGUGGGAGCACGCUUAGGCGUGUGACUGCGUACCUUUUGUAUAAUGGGUCAGCGACUUAUAUUCUGUAGCAAGGUUAACCGAAUAGGGGAGCCGAAGGGAAACCGAGUCUUAACUGGGCGUUAAGUUGCAGGGUAUAGACCCGAAACCCGGUGAUCUAGCCAUGGGCAGGUUGAAGGUUGGGUAACACUAACUGGAGGACCGAACCGACUAAUGUUGAAAAAUUAGCGGAUGACUUGUGGCUGGGGGUGAAAGGCCAAUCAAACCGGGAGAUAGCUGGUUCUCCCCGAAAGCUAUUUAGGUAGCGCCUCGUGAAUUCAUCUCCGGGGGUAGAGCACUGUUUCGGCAAGGGGGUCAUCCCGACUUACCAACCCGAUGCAAACUGCGAAUACCGGAGA
rnacentral:rRNA from 1 species